rnacentral:rRNA from 1 species
UACGUAGGUGACAAGCGUUGUCCGGAUUUACUGGGCGUAAAGAGCGCGCAGGCGGUCGUUCAAGUCGAGUGUGAAAGCCCCCGGCUCAACUGGGGAGGGUCACUCGAUACUGAUCGACUUGAAGGCAGGAGAGGGAAGCGGAAUUCCCGGUGUAGUGGUGAAAUGCGUAGAUAUCGGGAGGAACACCAGUGGCGAAGGCGGCUCCUGGCCUGCUCUUGACGCUGAGGCGCGAAAAGCUAGGGGAGCAAACGGGG